UUUGCUUUCAAUCUUCCGAGAACUAAUUACAAAAAAUAUUUCAAAUAAACGUAAAUAAUAUAUACAGCGGAAGGUAAGUUGAAGUUUUAGCCUUCAGUGGUUGGUGACUCAUAAUUUGUCUUCUUAUAUCAUCAGUCUCUUCUAUGAACAUGGGAAAUAUAUAGGCCGUAAAGACCGAAGUAGUAACAUUAUUAAAGUAGCUAAUCAAUCUCUCUCUGCUUGGUUCUUGAGGCUGGACUAAAGUAGAGUUUCAAUGAUGGAAGAGAACACUGAAAUGGCUCAGCGACCUAGUUUAACUUCCAUGUCUGAGAAGGAAAAUUUUGAGCUGGUAUGGGAAAAUGGCCAACUUCUUACACGAGAUUUACCCAGGAGAGCUCAACGGAACCCCUCAUGCAACGUUCAUCCUUCGAUCAAGGCUACCUUUCCUCAAAGGAGGGCAAGGUUUGAGACUUUAGGUUCCAUCUUAGAUAACUCUUAUCAUGAUAAGAAAAACUUUUAUAUGAAUUUUACUCACAGAAAUUCUCUAGAAGAUGAUAACUUCCAUGAAUCAUUACCCGAAGUGUAUCAAACCCCUGUUAAUGAGUUUUUGGAACAAAAUCAAGGUGAUUGUUUGGAUAAGUUUCAACAGGACUCCCAAGUUGUUCCCGUACAUAAAUAUGCAAAUUUAGAAACGGAGUGUCACUCUGAUUAUUUCACUGAAACUCCUCAACUUGCCCCAACAAGCCAACCUGAUAAGUCCUCCAAUAAGCAAUACCGAGAGUCAUCUCCAUUCAAAAGGCUAAGGGGGGAUUUAAGACAAAAUCUAGUAGCAAUGAAUGAAUUCCCUGUCGCAAAGUUGCUGAAGCAAGAUUCAGACUCUGAUGGGAGAAGGGCGACGACUGACUUUUCUCUUUUCUUAGGAUCUCCAAGUCUUCUUCAAGUUAACAGUCUGCAGAGUGAACUACCCACAAGGGUUCCUGCACCUUUAUCAAUUGCAGAGGAUUUGAAUAAAAAUUAUAACAGGUCUGGUCCAUGUAGGGAAAUUGCUCCAGCAAAUGGUUUAAAAACUGUCAACGGUUUUCAUUUUCAACCCAAUUUAAUGGAAGCCACUGUCGGGCUGUUGCCACCAGGUGCUAAGCCUUCAGAUAAUUCUCUCCCAAAUAACGAAUCUGAAGCUGUUUGUCGUGAGGAUGCUUCCCCCAAUAAAGUUUAUGGCCAAACCUCGAACAUAGAAGCAAACAAAGCCAAGGAACCAGUGGCAUCUUCUUCAUUUUGCUCACGUGGAGCUUCAAAUAAUCCAACUUACACUCUAAAGAGGAGAUACGACGAUACCGAGGGAUCAGCUGGUCAUCCGAGUCAAAAUAUUGAGAGAAAACCAAAGAGUGUGACAAAAACAGUACCUGGAAGCAAAAGCAAACCAACAAAUACGAACAAAGCAGUUUCUGAUGGCAAAAGGAAUAGGAAAAAGCUAACUACAGAGUUUCAUAAUUUAUCCGAAAGGAAGCGAAGAGAUAAAAUCAAUAAAAAGAUGCGUGCACUACGGGAGCUGAUACCCAAUUGCAAUAAGGUAGACAAAGCUUCGAUGCUUGAUGAGGCCAUUGAGUAUCUAAAAGGGCUUCAGCUUCAAGUGCAGAUGAUGCGUAUGGGAAAUAGGGUGUGUAUGCCUCCAAUGGUGUUUCCUAAUGGAUUGCAACAACUACACCAACAAAUGGCUCAUUUCUCUUCCAUGAGAAUGCAGAUGGGUGUUGGCUGCAACCCAUACGCACCACCCUUCUUCUUUCCACCAAUUCCAGGAGCUACUAUGCCUCAACUGUUACCCGUCUCUAUAUUACCUGCACAAUUUGGUUUGGGCCUUCUCAACACAGCUGUUAGGUUGCCUGGUGUCUCUCUUGCUUCUGCUCCAACCCAACUCAUGGCUUCUGCUACCCUCUCUAAUUCAAAGGAUUCCAUCCACAACAAUACUUUAGAAGAGAGAGAGAACUAAAUUGUGGAUUGCACAAAAAUUCAUUCAUCCAAUUAGGUUCCUGUGCCCCAAAAAAACUGCUUCUGCUUGAGGAAAUGAUUUAACAUGGGUUGCCAUCGUCAAUGAAGUACUGCCAUAUGACACCCUGUCAGAGUAUUGGGUCAUAAUUUCUCUUCUUGCUCGAUUCCACUGAUCUCCGAAGGGAUCUUAUAGUCUGAAAAUCAAAGGAUAUUCUAAACCUUAAACCCGAAACCUGUUGAAAAACUUAGCCAA